rnacentral:rRNA from 1 species
AUGGACUCGGAUGACGAGGAAGCGCUCGCCGCGCUGCUAGAGGAGGAAGCCGAGGCCGACGUCCAGGAAGAAGAGCAUCUCAUGGUGCUCGCCGCCCUCGCCCAGCUGCCGGCGAGCAAUGAAAAGCCGCGGCGAGGUGGCUCGGCGCCGGGGCGGGUGAAAGCAAAGAACCGACAUUGUCUCGAAUGCUACUGCAUGCUCUACUCCGACUACUUUGUCGAUGCUCCACUUCACGGCGAGAAAACAUUUCGGCGCCGUUAUCGGAUGAGCCGAAAGCUCUUCCUCAGGAUUGUGAAUUCCAUCCGGGAGUUCAACAACUACUUCAAGUGCAAGAUGGAUUGCACCGGCGCCCUUGGAUUCACCUCCAUCCAGAAGUGCACGACAGCGAUGAGGAUGCUUGCAUACGGAGCUUCCGGUGAUUCACUCGACGAUUAUGGGCGCAUGGCCGAGUCCACCAGCAUAGAGUGUUUCUAUAAGUUCUGUCGGACAGUGGGGAUGUACAAAGGCGCCAAAGACGGUUGCAGUGUGGUACUUGAGGCGGUGGCCACACAUGACCUCUGGAUUUGGCACUCCUUCUUUGGUAUGCCAGGAACUCACAAUGACAUCAACGUGUUGCAGUGCUCUCCUGUCUUUGCUAAGCUUGUUGAAGGUCAUUCUCCUCCGGUGAUAUUUGAGAUCAAUGGGCGACACUACAACAAGGGGUACUAUCUAGCUGAUGGCAUCUAUCCGAGAUGGUCGACAUUUGUGAAGACGAUCUCAAACCCUGUGCCAGGAGGCAAGAACGCCUGGUUUGCGAAGAUUCAGGAGGUUUGCAGGAAGGAUGUCGAGCGGGCAUUUGGUGUGCUCCAAUCUCGAUUUGCUGUUGUCCGAUACCCCGCUCAGACCUGGUCCAAAGAUCAAAUGUGGGAUAUUAUGACUUGCUGUGUCAUCUUGCACAACAUGAUCAUCGAGAGCGAGCAAUAA